CCCUUAGAUGUCCGGGACCGCACGCGCGCUACAAUGGAUGAAUCAACGCGUCAUCCUGGCCCGAAAGGGUUGGGGAACCGCUGAACCUCAUCCGUGGUUGGGAUUGGGGUUUGUAAUUAUUCCCCAUGAACUAGGAAUUCCCAGUAAGCGCGAGUCAUAAGCUCGCGUUGAUUACGUCCCUGCCCUUUGUACACACCGCCCGUCGCUACUACCGAUUGGAUGGUUUAGUGAGAUCCUCGGAUUGGUCACGGCACGGUGGCAACACUGCGUCGGUGUGCCGAGAAGACGAUCAAACUUGAUCAUCUAGAGGAAGUAAAAGUCGUAACA
rnacentral:rRNA from 1 species